UGGGCUUACUGUGGUGGCAAACGUGAGGUGAAGCAAGCAGCAUGGGAGAGGGUUAGUAAAUAUAUGGCUUGCUUAGCUCUCAUUCUGCUGAGGGCAAAGGGUGCUCCUCCUGGGCUCUGGCUGAGCUGCUUUUAAACCAAGAUUUUUGUGUGUGUGUGGUGGGGCUUUUCAGGGGCUGGGAGAGCUUUGUAUGGGGUUAGGGACUUUAGGGGAUUUGUGGGUCCUGCCUUGCAGCCCUGCCUUGGCGUGAGCUCUGGGCAAACCCCUGCAAGCCCUCAGGGCAGAAUAGCAAAGCCAGCCUUGUAGAGGCAAAGGAAAAACAAAUAACAAGCUUAAAAAGCAAGCAAACUGCAUAAUUGGCCUGUUCUUUACAACUUGGGGUGGGCAGGGAGUCUUGCCGCAGGUGCGGACCCAGCUGGGCACCUGCCCCAGGUGCUGCCGCCAGCACAGGGGCCGUUAACGGAAAGUUCCAGAAGGGACAGGAAGCGAGGAGGGCGCUGGGCUGUGGUGCUGAGUGGAGGUGUCUACAGGAUCUCUAAAGAAAAACUUCAUCCUGACAUGAACCAUGAUCAACUUCUGUUCCUCCCAAAAGGAAGACAUCAGGCAUCCCAGAGACUGCACACCACAAAAUCUGUUGUAAAUGAAUUACUACUACUCUUCUAAGCUACCUUCAUUACCCUGAGGAAAUGCACAGAAACACACUGGAGCUAAGAUGAUUUGCAGCAUCUGUGGUUAAGAUUUAAUAUAAUGUACUCCGUGUUUUCAAGGAUAAAAUGAGGAGUGGGGUGGGGAUUCGGUUAAAACACAUGUAAGCAUUAGAUUGAUUACUUAAAAACUGUUCAGCUAAGCAGUGUACUUAUUCAAUGCAAGGAAUAAUAGGAAAAUAUUUUUAUUGUUCUUUGUUCUUUAUUGUUCUUUGUGCACAUUUCAUAUGAACUUAAUGUAGAUUAAAAAGUAGGAAAUCAGUGCACAAAAGGCACUGAAGUUCACAAACAAGAUGUGAGAACCUCUCCUAGCAAUCGUUUCUUGACAGCACCAAACUAAAUCACAUCUUCGAUUAACACAGUCACCAAAACUAUCAAACACAAGUAAGCAUCCUCUUCCAGGAUAACCGGCGUGUGUGACUAAAUGAGCAUGUGUUAAAAUAAGCCCGAUGGGCCUUCAAGGGCUUGUAUAUUACAUUAACAGUAAAAUAUCAAAGUGGAAUAAAAAGACCAUGACAGAGAUAAGGCACUGACUGUUCAGAUUUUGUAAUGUUUUAUGCUUGCUUUAAAUCACAAGAUGUAUCAAUGAGCUGUACCCUCUUUUAAAUCUCAUCUGAAACUUAAUCUUUCCAUUCUGUGGUCAUUACUGUUAUCGUUAACUCUGUAAAAGUGCACGACUGGAAGCACAAAAGAUGAGAAGUACAAUGCUGGGAACUGAAUUUAAGUCUCCUAACUACUGUGUCAUUUAUGUUUGCAUAAUUUUUAUCUGUGUUUAUCAAUUACUGGGUGGGUUACGGGUAAGAAAGCAAAGUUCACUAGCCAAGUUUCAUCUGCUUUGGAGAAAAGCAUGUGCUUAAAGUUAUAUUUGGAUCAGUAGCACAAACAGGGCCAAUUUUUUGAGGGGAUAGAUCAUCUCUUGAAGCGUAGCACUGUUAUUUAUGAGUAGUGGACAACUUGUUAUCAGAUUAUGUUCCAGAAACUCUGAUCAUCUGUCAGUCAAUUGAUAUUGCUGGAUUGGUGGAGAAAGCUUUAAACUGUUGCUGUCAUGAGGUUUAAUAAACGUUCCUUUGAUUCUGUUAAUUAGAUCAGAUGAUAAUCUGCCAGGGAAUGACAGCUUCAAUAAAUCUAUCUUAAAAAGGUGUUAGGAGUCACCAAUCCUGGACAAACAUCUGUUUGUCACAGAGUGAAAGGCAGGGUUUCCUAAUUAUUUGGCUGCUUUGUCUCUCUCUUUCUCCAGUAGCAUAGUCCAUGGCAUGAGGAUGUAUGUGGCACAAGUAGCCAAACUGGCCAGAAAGACUUGCUGACCACUCUGCUUAAUGAACAAGGUGUGAGGGGUUAGAAGAAUCUCCAACAAAAUGCAAUGCAGUCUCAUCUUGAUAGCAACACGUAUUUCACAGAAAGCGAAAAGACUAUUUUAUAGUAGGCUGUUAAGGAAUAAUCAGCACCUGUGGGAUUAGUGUCCUAAUCUGUCAGUCUGUAGAUGCUUUUUUGCCUUGCAGCCUGAAGGCUUUACCAGAUGAUUCUGAAUCUAAUGUAAUAUUUCAUUACGUGUACAAAUAUGUAGCUCUUUUCUUGAGCAAUCCUGGCAUGAACUGUAAGAUGUCUUGUCCUGAAUUGCACAGACUAUGCAGAAACAUUUAUCUUUUCAAAACUGUGUUCCUUCCUAUGUGCAGUUUCAGAAUAAAAAUGAGAUGGUGAACGAGCUGUAUUUUACCAUGUGACAUACCACUUUCCCCA